rnacentral:lncRNA from 1 species
UUUAUUGUAAACAAUAUGGAGUUUGUAUUGGUGGGAUUGAGAGAAGGGUCCUUCUUAAUAGUAGGAAACAGGAAAGCAGUUGUUGGAGGGGCUGGUUAGAGUCUAGCACUUCCUUUUUCUCCACCAAAGCCUAAAAAAGUCUGGACCUUGACCCAGAGUGAGUCAAACCCCUCCCAACUCUGUUUUUAGAUGACUUUGAAUCUUCUCUCCUUAUUACAAACUUCAGAGACAAGUCUUGAUAUACUAAUUGACUAAUUUAUUUCUACGGCAAAAAGAUAAAAGGGAGGAAAGGUAGGACAGAGGGAUUGGAUAGACCCUACCCCUGUAUUCUCUAUAUCUAUAUUUGAUGAGAGAUCAGAUGUCUUUUCAAGAAUGAAAUGAUGGUUUAAGAUGAUCUUCAAAACAAAGCAGUAACACUUCUUCAGCACAAGCCAGGUAGGAAAAGAUAUGUGGAAACCUAAUUCUGCUCUCUAGCUCUUGACAAAGUCUCUGGUGAUAGAGUUAGAAGAGAAGUGAGGAGAAAAGUCAAAGAGUGCCCAGACCUCCCUCAUCCAACAGUUUUUUCCUUUUGAAUCCUCUUUAGAAUUCCAUGGAAUUCUUUUGCUGGCUCAUGAUGGUUCCAUAUGCUUCUCCUGGGUCCAUUUUCAUUACCUUUCAUAUUUUCUUUGCUGUUUUUCAUUCUUCCUUGAUUACAAGUUUGAGAACUCAUUGAAGCUUAGCUGAAGACUACAAGUGAGGAUCAGUAGAUGGGAGCCAGUAGCCCUACCUCAUUGUUGUCAUGAGUUACCAUGAGUUAUCAUCAGUGACUGAAGAGUCUCCCAAAUACUGAGCUAAUUCUGGCAAUUCAUGAAUCAAUCUCAUCAUCUAUGUAUGUGGAAAUCCCUGGAAAGUAUAAUGCCAAGGUUCCUAGUUAUGGAAGACCGAAGUAACAUCUUCACCAUCUGGGUACUGAAAACACAAAUCUUCCUGAUUCAUUCAGACCGUCUAAGUCACCUGGCCACAUCCUCUUCUUGCAUAAAUUGUCAGUCUGAAUUAACCUUUGCUGAGGUCACUAGGUAUAAUUUUAAAUGAUUCUGUCAAACUACUCCCAUCAUCAAUUCUAUCUCAUUGCGGUGAGACAGUGAAAUCCUCCACUUGAAGCUCACAGCCUAGAAUUUCUGUAGUUUCUACAAACAUGUUCCUGAUAGGACUGUUGGACAAAUAACUUACAGAAGACUUCUGUAAGAAACGAUAGCAGAAAAGGGAAGCUAACAAUUAGGAGAGCUUAUUUUGCCUUCAUGGACCACCAGUGCUGACUUUGUUUGCCUCUCCACAGUAUAGCAAGAGGAAAGGCAGGAAGAUAAAUGUGAGACAGGGUGAAUAUGGAGUACCAAGAAAGGUGACAAAGAAGCAAAGUCUUCUGGAGAAAAAGGCAACAUGGCAACAGGAAAGAAGAUUACAUAAACAAAAGGGUGGCUGGCAAAGAUUGUGUCAAGCCUGCACAUUGAAUUGUAUACAUCUAUAGUGAUGAUUAGCAUUAAUGUAAUGCACUAAAGCCACUGUGUGGUAUCAACAGCAAUCAGAAUUACAGAUUCAUAUAACACUUUAAAAUAUGUCAAAUAUUUUAUGUGCCUUAUCUCAUUUUAGCCUUACAACAGCCCUG